GUUUUAGACGCUUUAUCAGGAUUAACCCUGAGAGGAGAACAAAGGCCAGUGGUGGAAAGAUUGUGUCUAAAAAGACAGGCAAAAUGGUCCAAAAGAAGGCACAGGCAAUAAACCCACAUGUUGCCACUCUGAUAAAAAACCUCACUGAUUUUGAGUGGCACUUCCUUAAGUGAGCAAUUGGCCAGGGCAGAUGAAUAUCAAUCACCAGGACAUUGUGUGUGUUUUACAACAGGUUUUUGCAAUAAUUUCAUUUUAAUGCAGCUCAGAAUUAUUUUAACUUUAUACUGAAAUUGUUUGUUUCCAUUUCUUUUUACUUUCAGUUAAAGAGAUUUUUUGUUUGUUUUAUGCAUUUGCUGACUUUUAAUAAAUGUUCUGUUCCAUAAAAAUUAGGGAUGCACGAUAAUAUCGGUCACCGAUAAUUAUCGGCCGAUAAUGGCAAUUAUGACGUCACACCGAUAAUUGUGAUAAUGAAAAAUUCAACCGAUAAUGAAAUCCAAUAAUUAUGAACUUAAUUUAGCCUCCAAAUUUGCGCAGUUCCUACUACUGUAAUUAUGCACAGAUCCUACUGUGGUUAUAUUCUGUUCUGUGAAUAGACCAAUUAUGUUGACACUGACUUCGCAUUAUUCUUUAAUGUUAUGUUCAACAUUACAAAAAAUGGCUUACUUUUAAGAGCCUUGUUGUGCAAUGAAGUAUUU